UACGUAGGGUGCGAGCGUUAAUCGGAAUUACUGGGCGUAAAGUGUGCGCAGGCGGUCUCGCAAGUCAAGUGUGAAAGCCCCGGGCUUAACCUGGGAACUGCGCUUGAAACUACGAGACUCGAGUGUGGCAGAGGAAGGUGGAAUUCCACGUGUAGCGGUGAAAUGCGUAGAGAUCCGGAGGAACACCAGUGGCGAAGGCGACACGCUGGGCCGUACCUGACGCUAAAGCGCGACAGCAUGGGGAGCAAACGGG
rnacentral:rRNA from 1 species